CCAGAAUGUCUUGCGGGUUUCAUCUACAUUAUAAAAAUAGUUCGAACUAGGUGCAAUAUUUGUGCCCAGCGCGUACGCAUGUGGUGUGUCCUGAUAUAAAUGUACCAUAUGAAAGAGCUAUCCCAACUAAGUGCAGAACAUGCAUGAAUUACGUAUGUGGUAUAUGCUUGUUUGAAAGAAUCAACAAACGGCUAAGAUUUAUGCCUUGCUCAGCCUCAUUUGUGUCGGGUGGCUUUGUUGUGAGUUAUGAUCAUAUUCCGUCUAUCUUCUCAUGCUUAAAUA
rnacentral:lncRNA from 1 species